UACGUAGGGUGCGAGCGUUAAUCGGAAUUACUGGGCGUAAAGCGUGCGCAGGCGGUGAUGUAAGACAGGUGUGAAAUCCCGGGGCUCAACCUCGGAACUGCAUUUGUGACUGCAUCGCUGGAGUGCGGCAGAGGGGGAUGGAAUUCCGCGUGUAGCAGUGAAAUGCGUAGAUAUGCGGAGGAACACCGAUGGCGAAGGCAAUCCCCUGGGCCUGCACUGACGCUCAUGCACGAAAGCGUGGGGAGCGAAACAAGGAUUG
rnacentral:rRNA from 1 species